rnacentral:lncRNA from 1 species
UACUGGAAAAGAGGCUAGUACUUACUAGGACGAAUCCUACUAUUGCUACGAAGGCGGAUACCCCACUAUGGAGACUUCCUGCAAGAAUGGCCCUAGCCAAACCUCGUAUGGAAACCUUACUGCUAGGGAGACCGUCCACUCUAGGGAAAUCUCGUAUACCAAUCCAUUCUCUCGCUCUAUGGAAAGAAGGAAUUCAUUUCUUCGUAUGGACCAAGAUCGAAGCACAUUCCCCCUGGCGAGGGGACCCCCUAGCGAAAAGGAAAGCUACUGGCUCGCAAGCAUUUGGACAUGAACUCCCAAAGGCUGGACCUGGUUCAAGUUUGAAACCUGCCCUGACUAGAGAACCAAUUAUAUCUUAUCCAAACCUCCUAGGCAAACUCUUACCUAAUACAAUACCUCUUUGCUCGUAUCGAGCACUUUCCCUCUUACAGCAUAAGGGUACUCAGACUAUAUAUUCUCUACUUCCACCAAGAAAGAAUGCCAACUACUAAUACUAAAGGGGGCACAAGGGGAAAACAUCCACUAAAUUGAAGGAAAUCUCUCUAGGGGAGCUUCCAAUGGCUGAAACUGGUGGGGAAUUUGCCUGCAAUCUAUUAUAUGUAUAGGCUGAAAAUGUGAUAUGCUUAAUUGAUUGCAACUUAACUUCCAAUAGUGGGCAUAGCAUUAAGAUCUUUUUAAAAGCACAUUCUCGGAUUCCCGGUGGUGGUUCUUAUAAGAAUAUAAAAAGCGCGCCUUUUAUAUGAUAUAGUCUUCUUAAACAGCCUAUUCAAGGAGUCCUCCGGAAGCAGCAUAUACAUAAAAAUCGAACUGCUCUAAUAGAAGGAGGGGCUCACUCACUAGAUACUUAAAAAGGGAUUUCACUUCUUUCAAAAAAAGAACUUGCUUUUGGAGGGGACUCUAACUGGAUCACUGCGACCUCCCACUCCAAGAGGCUGGUCAGGAGAAAAAAAUGAGGACUGCCCGAGAACUGGUUGAAAGCGCUUAUCCUAAGACUGAAACUAUAUAGCUGGGAAUGCUUUCUAUAUAGGCUGAAAAAGAGUGCUACCUUUUAGAUUACCUUGAAUUCUUAGUUUCAAAAUGUCUUAAGAAAAGGUAGGCCCUUAGACAGACUGUUAGCGCUUGUUAGGAAGGGUAGGUUUGGAACCCUCGAGAAUAGCCCGCGUUUGCUUCGUUUGGUUUGUUUAGCCCGUGUUUAGCCUUUCUAGAUAGUUGCUCCUUUGGAACGGGGGUUGAGAGGCCCUAAUCCUUUUAUAUAGUUAGCACAUUAGGACCGUAGCCACGGGAGUCCUGCUUUUUAUCAUAUUGAACUAUCCAUUGGAUAUCGACUAGCUGUCCUACCGCUUGCCUAUAAUAUAAGGCAGAAAGACCAUAUGAUGCCCUUAGGAAUCUAACUGGAUAGUCUUAUACAGGUUAUGGAUAGGCAACCCCCACACAAACUUCCACUGCAACAGGAGGGGAGGGGCAGGGAUAGGGACUGCAAGAGACUCGGCAGGUAGCUCACCUGAACCAAGAGCAAAUGAAGGCUUCCUUUGCUCCUUCGAUACGUGCUCGCUACUGCAGCAGCUAGAGAAGUACGGAUUCGGACAUGGGAGCAUUAGGAAGAUUCUUUCUAGCUUAUGUGAUUCACCUUUGAAUCAUGUGAGUCACUCCUUAAAUAAGGAAAGGUAGUUAACUAAUUUCUCUUCUUAUAGAGAAGGAGAUGCCUUGAACAACCUAUUCUCAAACAACUUUUUCUAGCAGCGUCUUCUCGGUCAAGUCUGCGUAUAGAGCGGUGUAAGAGGAAGGUUGGAGUCAUCAAAAGAGAGGUUUUAUUUGAUCUUUUAUCUGUUAUAUGACAUGAAAGAAAAAUAGAUUCCUCUUACCAUUCUGGAGUAUCAGGUAGUUCAAACUUCCCCCUCAGCCGUAGAGGCAAAAAAGGAAAAGGGGAGCAUAUAGAGGAAGGGUGGUCAGAUUCUAAUUAAAAUGGAUAUGUAAAGCCUGAAACAAAUCCAGAUUGAAAGACUUUUUAAAAAUGCUUUGCCCAGGAUAAGGAUGUGGUCGAUGGUCAAAAGGUGCAAUCUUCUGACCGAAACUAUAAGCAUAAGUAGCACCAUUGAAGAGGCCACUGAGUCCUAUCUCGAAGGGAGCAGAGCUUUAAGCCAAGAUUGGUAUUGAUAAAGAAUUUCUGUCCAGAAGCGUGUAACACAAGAUUAUUUCACAACGACGAAGCAAGCAGAAAGAAGAUUAUACUUCCCAUUUGGGCUAGUCCGCCUACGCAUGUUAUGACAUUUCCACGAACCAUCACGAAUGGCGAAUGAGAAGAGGAACCCCGGCACUUGAGAUGGGUGCUUUCCUUCUUUUUUCUUUCGAAGGUGUUCAAGGGCUGAUUGAGGUAUUAAUUCAAUACAUAUAAUUUCCAUUUUUCUUGAUUUGGUGGUAACCCAUUUGGACGAGCAAUCGCUACUUCGUUCUCGCCUUUGAGUGUGCAGGGCUUGAAUCAUCCAUAAAACGCCUAUUCCUAGGUGCCAAGCUUGUGUGAAAUAUCUUACUUGCCUUAUUCCCGGAAGUGGGUUAAAAUCCCACAAUUAAAUAAUAAUUGCAAAGAUUUUAGAUAUUGUCUCAGUACUUGUGGCUAGUCCUCUUAUAUGGACUUGACCUCCUAGUCCUCUUAUAUGGACUUGACCUCCCUAAGGAUGCUUCCACAGAAGAGGCGAGAGGUUCUAUCCUUCGAUAGGAAAAGCUAUGUGUACCGAACGGGAAAUCUAUACUCGUAGGCGGUGAUACCUCAAGCCCAUGAUACAACAUUUUGAAGUAAGAAAGCAGUUGAUAACGAGAAGGUAACCCCCGGUCGGACUUGGUAGGGUAGAAGCCGAAUAGAAGGCAUAAAGUCAGAGGAAUGAGCGGGUAAAGAAUAAAGAGAUUGGAAAGAUGAGAUUCAUGUAUUGACGUAAUAUAGUAGACCCUUAAAGAACAUCCAAACCUAGAAACGAGAGCACGCCCAUCAAACUGAAAGAAUUGAGAAAGAAGAGGCGGGCUAAGCCCGAAUAGCUUCCUCAAAAGCAUGAUGUAGCGACUUACUAUGAAUAAUGCGAGCUAGCAUUUGGGGCUAAUGUCUGUAGAUGUGAUACCUCCUGGUCAGAGACGGAGAAUCGCUGUUAUCGGAUCUGGUAAUAAACGUAUGCUUAGUAGGGGGGGCUGAACCGGCUUGCUUUUGGUACUAAAUUCCUCCUCCACCCGAGCGUUUAUUGCUUUCUUUCUCGACGAAGGAAUUGAUAGAGGGCGGUGGCGAAGAAAAAGAAGUGAAAUCUUGACCAGUUCGUAUAGAAGUCAAGGGAAGAGUUUUCAAGGAACCAGCUCCUGGGGACUUCUAUUAAGAACGGCUUUUGGUCUUAGUAUGUGGUACAGCAUAUAGAGUCGUGAGACGCUCUACUUCCUCUUGUUCAGUUAUCGAUUCGCUGGCUGUUUCCGGGGGGAGGGGCUCGCCCAGAUGCUUUGCGAGACUGAAAGCUUCAUUUUGUGUUCGGUUGCGUUAUCUACCGCAAAGAGGGACUCCCCCUUUCUAUUAGAACAGUGUUAGUUCGCUAUUACUGCCGGUCAGGCCGACGAGAAUUCAAUUCUGAUAUUGCUAUGUGCGCCACUAGAGCUUUGAUCAUAUGCUUUGAGCCGAGUCGAUGAGUUUGAAUAUUCGUGUACGUAUGCCAUGUAGAUUGAAAAGGGAUAAGCCCUCACUGACUGAGUCUAAAUAGCACACCGGAUGGAUCAUUCAAUGGAAAGCCGAAGGCGAAGAGUUAACACCUCCUAAGGGCUGGGUGAGAGAAAGCGUCCUUUGUUGAUACCUAGUGUACACCGCCACCUACUGAAAUGGAUUAAUAAACGUUGCUUUCUAUUGCUUGUAGCGGCGUUGCUUCCUUUUGUUCACCGCGAAUAAUUCAAUCUUGAGAAAGAAGGCCUUGUGGGGCAUCUCCAGCAGCGCCAAAGAAGGAAGAUGGAAAGUCUUCUUUGUAGACUCGCACCGCUCACUUACGGUUUUAUACAGAGGGGGGUUUUAUUGAAGGGCCAUAAGCUUUGAAUCAAUAUGCGUUGGUUCCAAUCCGGAUCUCGUUGUUUGGGUCUCGAGAUGAUAUUCUAUUCAGGAGACAAAAGAGCAGAGCUGAUAGAAAUGCUAAUUAUAAUGGAGAUACUAAUAAAAACUUUAAUAAAGACUUGUGCCCAUUGUCCAAGAUUCCUUUGUGGGACUUUCUUUUUCUUCUUCUUGACUUGACUCAACAACCCUCCCAUUCAGGACAGAACUCUAAGGGUAUCUCUGAAGAUUCAAAAUACAGAAGAGCGACUGCCAAUCAAGACAAUAUUGAAGCACGCGCCUUAGGACCGAUCCCAGUGAAAUAGGAAAACGAAUCCGCGCGCCCCUAUACUAUCUAGUAGAGCUAGUAGAGUAUCCUUCAUCGAUCGGAACAAAACUAGCAAAAGACACUUUGAGGGAGCUGCGCUAUACAUAAGACUAAGGGACCCAGGCUCUGCCCGAAUGAUACGAUCAGCAACUUCUAGUACCCAAGCUAUGUGAUCAAUAACUCUUCUCCGUGAUCUACGACCACCCUCAGGGCGCCCUAAGCAACCGAAGGGUAGAGAAGAUGAAGAAUAAGGGUAAUCUACACAUGCGGCUAUACCACCAAAAGGAAAGAGAGGACCGAUUGAUACCAAUAGCAAGAUACACAUCUUUUUAGACUCCGAGGGGUGAGAAUAGUUGAAGAUCAGAAGAUUGGAAUGAAAUACCUUAAUAGAUUAAGUGCAAACUUUAUUAUAUAUAUUUUAUAUGGGUAAGCCCCUUCCCUUAGGAACAGAAGGAUACACAAGGGGGUAAUUUCUCACAAUUAUUCACGUUCAACUCCAAGAUCCAGCAAGCCAACUUCAACCGAAACUGAGUAACAUUCUCCCUCUCUUCCUAAUGGAGGCACAUACCAUUCUUGUAACAGUGGAUGGAUAAUCUAAAGUCUCGUAGUCUUUGUUUCUAAAAAGGUUGUGUCCUUUCUACAUAUAUCGAAAUUUGAGUCUUUCACCCCUCUAUUUUAUCGAAUUAGCUAUGGCUAAUCUAGUAGAGUAGGGCUAAUCAGAAGUUUAACUAUGGCGAUUGGAAGAGGCACAACCUCAAUUCAACAAGUCGAGCAGCAGCUUUUCUACACUCAAAGGGAACCCGGCAUCCCAUUAACUGAGACUUCCUAUGCAUAGCUGUAGCCUUUCGUCAUACCCUUUGGGUACUUAGUGCCUCCACCAACUACUAGGCUGUAAUCUUCUUGUUUCUAAACUAAAUCGAGGGUCUAUGCGGCUCUCUGAAUAAUAUGUCCACUGUAGUCUAUUUGAAGCGUUCCUGCCCUUUCUUGUCUUGAAUCAAACGGAAUUGAAUAACCCUGUGUAGUGGGUAGAAUAUGCCUGUGUAGCGGAUAGCAUGGACUGAUUGAAAUAGCAUACUAUUGCAAUGGAUCUCUUUUUUCUUUCAUAUGUAAAAUGUUCGUGUAGUGAAUUCACGGCUAGAGAUAGUACAUUCUGGGUCGAUCAAGGAAGGUAGCGUAUACGGGUACUUGAGAUUUAGUAGAGCAUAGGUUCAAUAACCGGGCUUGGAAAAGAGAAUGAGAAUCUCGUUCAGCAACAGGCUGGGUUUUUGGUCUUUCUACGUUUCAAGUGCCACUCCUUUGGUUAGUACUCCAAAUUGGAUUUCUUUCUUGUUGGUUCGAAGUAAUGCUCCUUUUAUUUAGCUAUGACCUACAUUCUUUGGUUAAAGUGCUCAUGCAGCUUCUAAGGGAUGCGUUCCCCUCCAAGUUGUUUCAAAGUAGCAUCUGUGGAUAAACGAUGGUUAAGCCGCAUCGGUGCGGUCGGGAUCGACCGGCACUUGUGAGGCAGAAGAAUCCUUGAAUAAGAAGAUCGAGCCAAUCCUUGUGGAAAGUCUUUUUUUAGUACUUGUUAGCGUCCCUUCCCCCUUUCUAUGUACCCAGUCUACGAACCUGGCCUAAUCUAAUAGGCCUUCCAGGCCCUGAAAACACCGAUGCAGCAUGGUUUCAUAGUGUAGGAUGGCUCUUACCGGAACUUCUUCACUCAAUUAUCAAGAUUCAAGCUACUUUCUGCUUUUGCUCGCCUCAAAAAAAGCUGCGCCUUUUCUCUUUCUACGUCCCCGAGACCAGGACUAUUCUGAUCGAAGGCUAUAGGCAUCUUACCUCUUUCUUUAGGCGAGCUUAUUCACCAUAAAGUCUGCAUACUCAAUGACUCAUAGCGAGUCGCUCCGUCCUCCUGUGUAGAUGUAGAUAUAGAGGCACCUUUUUCAUUCUGUCUGGUCUGUCUAUCACCACAAACCUAGUGAUCUCACUUCCAAGAAGACGCAGAGCUAAGAGUCAAGAUGCGGGUUCAUCUGACGAGCUGGAUUUUGAAAGAGUCGGGCACUUAUGUUUACUAAACGAACAGGCUCGGUAGUACCUUAACUAAGUUCUUCGAAUGGAGGACAAGGGACGGAUGAAAUUCCCAAUGGUAUCGAACUGGCUUCUAUGAUUGCCUUCACAUAACUUGAGUAGACGACAGCUGGAAGUCCCUUUUGGUUAAUAUAGCCGCUUGAUUGCUUAUUUACUAUGAACCAGAAUGACUUUCUUUCCUAUUUAGAACUUAAGAUUUAUGUUUGUCGCUGGUUCGAUCUCUGGACGUGCAUCGGCGGCCCCCUUUCCAUUGAUAGUCCUCCUAAGCCUUCGGUAAUAAAUAGGCUUUACCUGAAAAUAAAUAAGGUAUCGAGACCUACUGACAUAGAUUAAGCUGCUACUAGAUCCCCCGUCUUGUCGAAGAAUCAAAUACUUCGUUCUCAUCGAUUGGGAUUGACUGUCUUCUUUACUUCGACAGAUGUGGUCAACCCCAGCUUGCUUAUCUACGGCUGCCAUAUUCCGUGUAACUUAAUGAAUUUGAUCCAAUCCAAUAAGCCCGUAAGCGCCGGUACAAUAUAAUUAGAAUAUCCUAUAUUGAGGUGGAAUCCUAUAUCUAGUCUUUCUUCAUUUCCUGCAGAAUCAGAUGCUUACUCUUCAUUAAUUAGAGGGGUGGUCACUCCACUUGAGUCAACCGGCCCCAAACGAGGGGGGGAAGAGAUAGAGCUCUAAUAAAUCUUUAUGCCAAGGAUUGCCGGAGUUUAUUAUCUUGACCCUUCCCUUGACUCAACCUUCUGAUUCAUCCCAAGACUCGAGAGAUGUUUUUAGAAAGAUACAUAAAUUUCUAUCAAAACGAGAUUGAAGUAUGUUCCAGGACCGACAUCUGUGAAAAAGCCGAACUCACACGUUACCACUGGCGCUAUGCUGCCUCCUCGUCAUCGUGCAGCACUCCUAUAAAGGUUAAUAUAAAAUAUACAAUUCUUUGAGACUCCCCAAGGGGAACGGGAUCAUGCAAUAAAAGAUUACUAUCAAUUAAGCUGGUACAGCCACUACGUCUAUUGUAGUACUACUUUCGCUGCUCUUCUACUCCCUGGCACUCGUGUCGCCAUACCAUACCCCCCCGCGGCAUUUCCAUGACCAACUAGAAAUAACCAGCAAAACCCAUUCUGAAUGGAACCAAACCAACCCUAACUAAAUGGAAAAACUUGGAACCUCCAACUCUCUUCUUUGAGGAUAGCUCCCCUCUUCUAUUCCGGACGGAACCAGGCACUAGCCGAAGAAACAAACAGGCCUAUGUGUCCAGUGCUCCUAUCGAGUCAGACCUUAGCUGUGGUAGAGUGCGGAAAGAGGGAAACCACCCUCUAAAAAGGGUUCGCUUCGUCAGUCAGAAGCCUGAAACCAUAUUCUAUGUCUGUAUACGUUUAGCUAACCCGAUUUUUUUCCAGGCCUCUCACCGAAAGGUGGAAGGAGGGGCUAGGUAGGCUAUGCUCUGGUGUACGUGUACCUCUUCCCCUGAGUCGGGUGAUAGAGAAUAGACCAAAUCACUUUUCAAAUAGCUUCGUUCCCUUGUCUCUUAUCUUUUAGUUUUAGGUGGACUCUAUCUGGAGGGCUAAUUUCAUUAGUAGUGCUUGGUCAAAGAAAGACCAAAGGAAUCCACUGUUUCAGCCUUUGCUGGAGGCGGUGGAAAGACUUCUGUACAGAAGUGAGUCUGACGGGUCUCAGUCGGAGGUUUUCCGAGUCUCCGGGGUAGGCUUGUUGGCUGGCUUAUGAUGGUUUCCUGUCCCAAUUCAACAUAUUGGUAGCAGGCUUGGUCCGGUUUCGAUUCCGUGGGAAGAUAAGAGACUUUGCUGCACUGUUAACACUCUUGAUUUAAUGGAAGCACUCACUAAUCAUUGCGUUGAACAUCAAUCUAUUGCUCUGCUCAGUUAGACUUCCGAAUUUCGGGUGUGAAGGAAUAGUUGGAAUAUUUUAACUAUAAACAGGAUCGAAGAGCUUAGUGUGAAAGGCAAAGGAAAGACUUUCAUUCAGCUCCAAUGCGCGGAAUCGCAAAAGACUAUUAUGGUAGGAAGAUGGCACUCAUUACAUUAGUUAGUAACUAGGGAUUCAUUGAAUUUCUUUUUGAUAAGAGUGAGGCUCUGCCCCUUGAUGGUGUAGCUCGUGGGGUAGAGUUGCACCUUGGUGCGUGGAGCGGAAUGGCACCCUUGGAUGAUUUUGAUAUUGUGCUCUGGGCAUGGAGUUUCUAAGGCAAUUCCAUGUGAUUCCUUUGCCGCGUUAUAACUCCUUUUGUAUCUUGGAAGAAGGUCCAUGCAUGAUUCCGCGGUAGGUAACCAAGCCUACCACCAAGUCAAGCUUUCUCUCCGUCACUCAAGAAAGGAGUGAAGAGGGGAGAAGUCACUUACCUAGCUACAUUGCGGGAAGUAGAUGGUGGAGUAGAUGGCACAACGGAGGAGCUACCAAAGGAGAUUUGGGGAGUCCUUGAGGAGUAUAAGGACGUAAUGCCACCCCAGUUACCCAAGAAGCUUCCACCUAGGAGAGAAGUUGAUCAUAACGAGUUAGUGCCGGGAGCCAAGCCACCCGCCAAAGCUCCUUACCGCAUGUCGCCACCUGAACUUGAGGAGCUACGGAAGCAAGCCUGUAGCAAAGCGGUUUCGUCUGUUGGGCAAGGCUUCUACGCCCUGGAAUACAGGUUCAGGCAGUUCAGGAAGACUGAAGUUCCCAAAGCUUCGUUUAGGCUCACUCAACCGGAAUAAAAAACCUUCAUACGAUUCAAGUCGUAGUUCCAUAAGGAAGUCGUGGAAUAGGAGCAAGCAAGGCAGUCUAAGGUAGUGGGGCUUCUCUUUCAUAAGUUGCCAAUCUCCGGCCUGUGAUAAAGUACGAAUAUUGAAUAUGAAUUGGAGGAAAAUGAAAAUGUUGUUGCUUACUCUGAUAUUGAUUAGUUUAAGGAAGAUCCUCUUCUCAAAGCGGGAUUAGUGGGAAGGCAUCAUCCGAAUCGAAGUUGCAGGUAAGAUCUAUCUUAAGGGAAUAGGCGAGGUUCGGGGCUUGAAUUGAAAGCUUCCCCGUUGAAGAAGGUGCAGCAAAUAGACCUCACAAGAAAGCUUCUUUUAGUCCGUUUGUUAGCACUCUAAGUUAGUUCAGUCGAAAACCUCACCCGAGGGCCACGUCCUGAACUCAUAAACCAAUCGGUGUUGCACACUCUCUUUUAAUGAAUCUUCACUCUUGACUGAGACUGCUAACCCGGAUCUGUGGACUGAGAAUGGCUACCUACACUGUGGAAUGCAUCCGUGUUCUUGCUCCUAUGCUGAUUUGGCGUUUGGCGGGUGAUUCAACGUAUUCGGAUGCCCUAUAUCCUAUCUAUCCCUGACUCGGCUGAUUUUGAAUGGAAUGCCUUCCAACCCUUUCAAAGGAAGAUUCCUUUUCGGCUGACUCUCCAUUGGCUGAUGAUGAUACUUCUGCUUAAGCCGCGUAUUCUCCAGUGGCAUCUGCUUUAAAGGUUAGCUUAGGGCUUCUAUCACACUGUGAUAGCGUUAGGUAGGUGAAAGAGCUAUCUUUGGUGAAAUCCCUGCUUGCUUUCAGCCUCUGUUCCGUGCUUUAUCCUCUAUUCAUUCUAUGUGAAUUGUGCAAACUCCCCGCAUUCUUCCUUCCUACUCCCAAAGGCCAGGGGAAGAGUGGGCCUACUCCUGCUGAAGCAUCGCUUCAUCUGCACUCCAUAGAUUGACUCACUAUUAGCGCCUUCGCUUCUUUUCUUUAGGGGCUCAUAAUAUAAACCCAAGGGUAGCUACGUAAGGAACCACUACGAACUCCCCUAAAACAAAACUCCACUCCCAUAAUUCCUAAAACCGCACCUGGCUCCGAGGAGGAGGGACGGAGGCGGACUUCAGCUAUUAUCAGCCUUUUUUCGUGACAUCAUAUCACUGCAAGUCAAUCCCGGGCUCAAUAUAUCUCUCAAUAGAUUCGCGUGCCACAACGACCGGACAGGAUAGGAGAUCGCCCAACCUUCCAAUAUCUCUUUCUGAAGCAACUAUAACGGAGGGACUGCUUCCACUGGGGAUUUUUUCCCCGCUCCAACUUCGGAUUCUUGGAAAUCAUCCCCGACCAAUGAGAACAAGUCUCAUUGCUUCCGCGAGGGAGCCCGCGGAUAUUGGAGUCGUAGCGCAUAUCUCUUCUCGGGAAGGAUGGCUUAUUCAGAAAGGGACCUAUCUUUAUCUUGCCGGACUUGAAAAGCAGGAGAAGCGGACGGCUGAGAUGGUGGAUUAUUUCCCUCUCACUCCUUUCUUUUUGAUUUUUCAUCGCGAUGAAUGGGAUGAAGGAAGGCCAGCCUGCCCAACAAGUAGACCGGAAUAAUUAGCUUAUAGUCCAACUAGCUUGAGCUCCAGCCCAAGCCUCCAAAUCGAAGCUUCGGAGAGCCUUCUCCCAUGUGAAGAGAUUCAUUCUCUCUCUCCCUCCAACACCAGACAGACCAUGGACAUAUCGUCCGAAUUCCUUCAAUCCUACCAGCCAUUCCUUUCGGGACCCCAGACAAGGAGGGAAUAAAGGCAUGAAGAGUGGAUUUCAUUAAAAACAAGACCUUACCAGCUUGACCUAAUAGGACGGGCACCUUUCCAACCCGAAAGCUUCUUGCUGAAUUUCUCUGUAACUUAAUUCCAAAGUUCAUCUCUUCAUCUUCCCAGCAUACCCUUCCGAAAGAAAGGAAUUGGCUAUUGAACAGCCAAACAUAUUCCGGCCGGCCCUCGUAAUGGGGAUGGAGGAUGAAGGAAGAACACCUUACUUGUUUCAAAAGACGGAAACAGAGAGGGUAGGGCAGUAACGUUUUCUAAUACUGACCUGCAUUCUUAGACUCUUAUUUGCAUGGAUUGGUUUGGACCAAGGCUGCCGCUAAACUUGCCAGCGCAUCGGCAUAAUGAUUCUGUGACCGUGGAACAUGCUCGACAUUUACUUCGAGGAAUUGACUUAGGAUAGGAGCGUGCCUUGAUGAAAGAAAUAAGGCUCGAGAGACCUCUUUCUUACUUAAUAAAUAGUGUAGAUCUGAUUAACGAUCAGUUUCGCCAUACACUGUAAGAGGAUCAAUCUUCAUCUCCAAAGCUAUACCAGCUUCCUAUUCAGCAGCCUUGUUUGAAGCUGCUGAAGUCAGUGUGAACGAGUAAGGGAUCAUUGACCUUUCUGGGGUCAUGAAGACAAUCCCUGCCCCCGCUCCUGGAUGAACCAUCGAUCCUUUUUUAGUUGGGAACUGAACUUUAGCAUAUAAAACUUCUUCAUCAGGUAGAUCAUCUGACAAAUGAGUGUCAUCAGAGGCUGGAUGAGCUGCCAAGAAAUCAGCCAACGCUUGUCCUUUGCCUUACAACAUUAGGGAAACAUCAUGGACAUUUGGAUAAUCCAUAACCUCUUGGUAUUUAUCCUUUAAGAAAGGCUCGAGAGCAAAUACUUGAGCGGAUCUGCUUUCGAUAUGAGCCGAACGGGAUGUUCCAGGAGAUAGUGUCUGAGCUUUUGUACUGCAAACAAGGUAUAUCUUUUCGAAGUUUGAAUAAUUGAACUCUGCGCCCACCAGGGUACGACUUAGUAUAGAGCAACUUCCUUUCCUUCAUCAUUUGUGCAAGCAAGACAAGAAGAGUUCCUAGCGAAUCAGGACGAGCUGCUGUGUAAAAGAUCAGAGGACGUCCUUUGACUAGAGCCCCUAAGACUAGGGUAGGGGAUUUAACAGAUACUCCUUGAUGUCUUCAAAAGCGUUCUGACAUACUUGAUCCCAUUCGAAGGGUAGUCCUGUCUCUCCAUGCAAAUGUGGAGCGCAGCGUGCCUCGUGUGUUACCUCCUUCUAAAGUCAGUCGAUAAUAUAUAUGCUCCUCCAUUUUUUCACUAAGUCUAAGUAAAUGGAAUCUUUUAUAGCCGAAGCUAAUCAAUCUUCUUUCUCCGCUGCCAAACCAAACUAAAGUAAAGCUCUUCUAUCUAUGUUAUAUGUCAGAAGCUUGACUAAUCUCAGCAAGAGGAUCGAUGCUCGCUUUAGUGACAUGCGAGGUAGGUUAAGGCCUCCUUCGCAUUGGCGGCGGAUCCGUACUCAUAGUUGAGUGAAGAAGUCCCUGUCCAUGGCAGGUGAAGGAUCCACUUCCAAUCUCAGUCAAAGUGGUUUCGGUCGGUGAGAAAAAAGAAACAAAUAUUCAAUGAGAGUCGUAGUUCCGAAUAAGCAUAAGAAAGUCUCAUUCCUCAGGGACAAUCCAAAGGAAAGAUUCAGCGAAGGUAAUGUAAUAUCGGGAGUACUCCCGAUAUUACAUUAAAUUGGCCGGUUGUUAGCAACUUCGGUCGGGUUCUAUUUCAUCCUCCGCCUGUGAGCAAAUCCACUUCUUUUCUCAGGACUUCUCGGUGACGACAAAGAAAUGCUUUAGAGCAAUAGCAAUUCGCUGAUUUGAGCAAGACGAACCAACCAGGUUUCUUUCUUCAACAAGAGGAAGUGAAGCCGAACUUCGAAUCCAUUAGAAAGCAAACCUUCCCUCACCGCACCCCGACCCGAAAGUUCUCAAAUAGGCUGGUUUCAGUCCAAUCCAGUGAGUAUGCCAUGCCAAUUCGCUUGAAAGCCUCAGGAGAACCCUUCUAUGAAGAAGCAAUUUCAAGUCUCAAUUCAUCUUCCCAAAAGUUUAUCUUACUUAGGCUAGAAGAGCAAGCAACUCAGCAAAAUAAGCAGUGUGAUGACCUAAAAGGAAAGCCCUUGUACAGACUCUGAAUACUCCCCCACAAGCAGCAGGUCCCCUGGCAAGCGAAGCUAACCUCCUCUUAGAAAAGGGAUUAGGCAUAAGAAGAAGUUUAUGCUCGCUUAGAAGCAGAAGGCGAGCUAGCAGUGGGAAAGUACCUUGGGCAUCAUCCGAAGUCUUAAUCUUCCAGGUAGGCAGAAGAAGAAGUUUCUCUUUGGUACUCUGAUCUUUCUUAAUGAAGUGUUCUAGCGCCAAGCCGCUUGAAAGCAAAUGGGACCACUUAAUUAAAUAGAGGGCAGGCGGGCUAGAUAAUCUAAGGAGAGAAACGGUGUUCAUACGAGAGUAGCCAACGGAAGGGGCGAAGUAGCUCCGCAGUCAAUCAAGUUAAGUAAGUAGGCUCGCCCAAAGGAAGUUCCGUAGUGAGUCAAGUAAUAACACUAAAUGAAUCUAUAAUAAUUUUCAAUAACAUAAGUUACCAUAAAAUAAAGAAAUGAAAUCCAAGAAGUCAACCACGGCACGGGCAGAAGAAAUGGAAGCGUUAGCUGAUGCGCAUGGGAUUGUAUUGGACUUAUUUAUGAGUAGAUAAAACCUCUCGCCAGUGUGAAGCUAUAUGCCGACUAAGUCUUCCUCAAUGAAUGUCCUGAAUAGGAUAGGAUCUUUAGCACUACCGAUACGAUAGCUCAGAAAGCUCCACUCAAUUGAGAAUAUCACGGAAGAAGAAGAAGAUUAUAAGUCAAGGGGAAGACAGCACAAAGUAAUCCGACCUGGCAGUGAAGAAGAAGAAGUGGGGGUAGAACAGAUGGGUCAGAGAAAUUCCUAGGAUUAGCAAGCACGGCUUAGGCGGAAGCAGAGAAUCCCAUUCAAUCCGGCUUUCUAGUUAUAUUGAUUCAAAGGCACGGCUUAGAACUGGCUAUCUGCUUUCGAGCUCGCCAACGGCAUCAUCCGUCUCGUCAACCGUUCCUCUCUCAAGUAAAGGGUACGAAGUAUCAAGUCAAGAGUCAAAGAAGGAUCUUCAAGAAGAGCUCGAGUUAGGGAUUAUUGACCAAUACAGAGGGAUUUCCCAGCAGAGAAGGUGGGUAGAGAAGGGAGGGAGAGGCAACCUCGUAACACGGCAUUAGUACAAGAGAGAUAUGAAUAGGUUGGGGGAUACAUAGUCACACGUACAGUCGGAUGGUUACAGCGGUGAAACUCCGUAGUUGAAUAAGAAAGUUCCGUCUCCAGGGAAGGACAAAGGAAAGAUUCAGCGAAGGAUAAGGUUUCAUGAGAUCUUCCGGUUUAGCUCCUUUACUUUACCUUUUGAAUAACUUUCUAGUAAUCCGGUAAUAAAGGCAAUCGCCCUUUGACGAAUAAGCGCUAGGGGAUAUUCAAAGCAUGACGGAAGAAAGGACGAGCGGUUACUCUAGCAGCGGCCAAACCAACCCUAAAACAGCGGAUACGUUCUAAACCGAUUCUUUCACAACUUAUUAUAUCACCCCCGGUUCACUUCACUCCCUAAAGGCAGAUUAAGACUAAGGCUACUCUCCGGAGGCAAGGAAAGAAAUAUUCAAUCAACCAAGCAAAGAACCGAGACCACUACCACAGUCUUCACCAAGACAGCAGGAAGGAAGAGAGUCAAGACAGAAAGCCAAGACAGUCAUACAGGCAUUGGUUACAGACAGGCAAACCAGAGAUCGAAAGAGUCAAAGCCAAGGAUAAAUCCCGGGAAAGGGAAACCCGAGAAGACCGUAUUCAUGUGCAACUGAUUCAAUAGGACCGGUUAUGAACCCAAGAGCGGAUAGGAGUACUCAUACUCAAGGAUCGGAAGCUCUCACAGCGUCAAGGCAAAGAAUCACUCCUAUUGGAAGAAGAGCGUUUACGAUCAGAGCUAGAAGAGUGGGAGGGAAUGAAAUAGCAAUUGCAGCUACUUCUGUGCGUGGCUAUCUUCUCCUAUUGAUUAACGUCCUUCAAAGAGCGUAUUCUAUUCCUUCUGUCCGUGGGUGCAGCUACUUCUAAACUUUAUAACUGAAGCUAGCUGACUGGUUAACUACUGGCCCGCGUUACUUUAGCGUUGCGGACAGUGAUCUUCGCAAUCUAUCAUCCUGCUUUUAAAAUCCUUCUUCUUUCAGAGGGUGUUAUAUCCGAGAGGACAGUCCUUACUUUGAUGUCCUUUCCGUUCAGUAUGGACGUUAAGGUAGAGGAGCGAAGCCUCUUUUUAUUGAUAUUGAUUGUAAGGCUGCGUUCUUUCUAGGCUUCUGACUUUUAGUUAUUGUAAGUCAGUUCUCAGGAACUGGAAGGCCGGCCAGGAUAUGGCAGAUGACCUUAUUAUUAUUUACUCCGUACCCUGUCGGAAGACUGGGCUUCAAGGAAGAGGGAGCUGGGAAGAGGCGCAUUUUCGCUAUUCCUAACGCACUGAAGCAGGCUCUCUCUGUCUGUUUCGACUUGCGCAUAAGUGUAGGAAGGUCUUGCGUACUAUUCCAAUGGAUGAGAAGACUGAACCGCUUGCGCGGUUGAGUCCGAUAAGCUGCGUAGUUUUGAUCUCUCUUCGGCGACGGAUCGUUUUCCGUUGUCCUUUCAAAAUCUCUUAAAGAAUCCUUAGCUAAAGCUUUUUUUAGCCGUCUGGCUUAGCUCAUGGAAUAGUAACUCUUCCGCUAUAGUAGCUCUGGAGUGAACGAAAAGCCCUGUUUUGCCCGAUACCCUCUUGCUUAGUAAGACCUUAUUUCUGAGCCUUCCCCUACUUCUUUUGAGUCAUCUUGGAUGAGAAGACAGAGACCGACUUCAUCGACUUCCAAUGUCCGUGUGGAAUGCAAUUUUCUCGCUGAAGUGGAGGCGCUUUCCGCUGGGGCAGACCAUUCUUGUGAGAACGAAGGCUGAUCCAAUCCGGGGUCUCUCUUGAACCAGCCAACUCUCUAGGGAAGACGACUAGCUAGAUGGUCUUUGAGUCAGAAUUCGAACUUGUUGACGCGGAGAGUGACCAAAGGCAAGGGCUAUCUGAACUCUUCUUUAUAUACAGAAUUCUCAGUCGUAGGACUGAAAUAAAGACUUUCAUUUCUACUUUACUGAAAUAUCUACUUUCCCAUCCGAGUGACAUGACCCUAACCCUGUCAACAGUCCUUUCAAGUGGGAUGGGAUAAGAACUCAACAGAUUCAAUAUCAUAUGAGAACAUAGGCUGUCAUUUCGACUUUCCUAGUUACCUAAAAUAGGAAGUGGAAUCCCAAAAAAGAGAUACGAAGCUGGUAUGAAAGAUGUUCUUCCUAACUCCCUUUAACUUCGGGGAAAGUUGGUGGUGUCAUGAUUAAAGCAGUACUGAGCUACAAGGAAUGGAUCGGAGGCGGUAACAAGACGGAAAGCUACUCUUCUUACCUAGAUUCAAGUUAUCCCAGGGGCGCAGCGUCCGCUUCGAAUAUAAGAAAAAGAUACCUUCAGAAAGAGCAGCAUUCCGUUAUCGCCUAAGGCAAUGAAAUUGUAAAGUCCCUAGAGGAGCUUACGAUCGGAGUUUUCCUAUCUGUAACGGUAGGAGCAUUAGUCAACCAUAUAUGGCAUCUGUCUUAUCUUUCCCCCAAAGGGCUCGCAGAUGAGGAUCUUGGGGCAUUAAAACAGGGGGGUGGGCAUGUGAGCAUCUAUUUGAGGCAGUUUCACAGGCCUUGGGGAUAGGGAUAUAGAGACUUUGAAGCAAGGCUUCGCCCCUAUCUCUAAAGGGGCUUACUUCGAGUAUUUAUGACUCUGGUGGCAACACGUGACAGGCGAAUGACAUGAUUCUCGAGGAGUUAGACGACGGCCAUGUGAUGAUGCAUCAAAUAGAUGCAAGGGUGGAUGACUCAGCUCAGUAGGUCCUUGUAUGGACUGAUGUUGUUCCCCACUGGGAGAGCUUUAGAGGGAAUAGGGGUGGACAUCUAUAUGGGCUUCAUGUGAUUCGAAGCCAACCACUAUGUAUUGCAAGAAAGUCCUAUGUGUAGCUAUGUAUACCUAAUGAAAACCUUAAAGAACCUCUUAACACUUACCUGCCUAAACCAAGCAAGAUUCAAGAAUCAAUCCAUUACCAGAAAGAGACGGCUCAGCCAAAAAACGUGAGCGCCCCUGCGCGAGCUCUGCAAUCAAACAAAAGCGCUAACGCGCUUUACUAAUAUAAUAUAUAGGGCUUUUCUCGCUUGUUUAGUAAAGUCAAGCUUUGGCUUUGUUUCACUUCCUUAACGGACCUACGGACUAGCUAAGGUUUACUUACAUAGUUGUUCUUUCUUUUCGCAAUUUCAAGUUAAAGCUAGCGUUUUUCAGCUUGCUGUUUGCUUUGGUCGAGUAGCCGCCUUACGGCCCUUCGCUUUUGAAUGAAAUCAGCAGUAAGAAAGAGUAAGUAAGUGUUCUCUUUCUUUCCUCUGCUUAUUCCGCCCAACGAAUCGGCUUUCCGCUCGACCAAAUAAAAAAAUGUCCGGUUAGGAUAUGUGGGGAAGAAGCUCCUAGCAUAUCUAAGGAUGACUUUCGUUUCAUAUUCCAGUCUUGCAAGAUCCGAAUAGGAUUUCAAGGCUAUGAAUGUCGAAUGGUCCCAUAUGCGCUUUCGCCCGCCCCUGAAUAAGCAGUAAGGCGUGGGCGCGUUGGAACGAUCCCGCUUUGAAAGCUCAACCUCGGGAGAAUCAUAACUCCGCUACCAACAGAAAGCGGGAUCUCGACCAGUCCGGAAUCUGAUCACCUGGGCGGUGACUAACCCAGGCAUUUGAACUUGACUCCCGCUUAAACGAGAAAAAAAAAAGCCCUAUGCUACAGACUCGGGACAGAAAGAUUCGUAUUGAAUGAAUGCACCGUUACUUCCUUUCGAGAUCUUUUAAUGAAUGGUCGGAGAUGCAGCCGGUCAGGAGGAGGGGGCCCACGUGCAGCUUUUGGCGCACCCCUAUCACGUAAGGGGAGGAUAGGAAGAACGGAUAGAAAGAUAGUAGGUAGAGCGAUUGGUAGAGAGAUAGUGGGUAGAUGGAUAGUAGGUAGAAGGAUUAGACUUGACUUACCUCCAUAGUGACUUCAGAUUAUACUGACCUUUGACUUACCUAAUCACAAUGAAGAAGCAGCUACGGAUAGACAAAGAGCUUACUUAUAGGGGAGGGGAGGGGACUGAAGCACUCGACUAUCAAAGCCUGCGUAGAAAACAGAAGUGCGCUCAGCAAGAAAACGGCUGCGCGUUAGCGCUUUUGUUCAAUUAUAAAUAAAGAACCACCUUUGAUGGAGAUUUGUAGCAUCAUUCAAGUAAAUACAGAUUGAGAUCGUAGAAACAUGAGCUUGUGAUAUAGCUACACCUAAUUCCGGACCGGUUAAUGCAAGAACUAUAAAAAAAGGACCAGGAUCCCCUAUGAAAUAUAAAAGAUCAUUCAUACAUAGCAUAGUCCAAGCGAACCCACUUAAAAUCUUUACUGAACUAUGACCGGCCAUCAUAUUAGCAAAUAAACGUAUUCCUGAGCUUAAUGCGCGAAAACAAUGAGGGAUUAGCUCAAGGAGUACUAAAAAAGGUGCUAACGGCAGUGGGACUCCUGCGGGUAAUGAGAAGCUUAAAAAAUGAAGCCCAUUUCUUUGAAAUCCCACUAUAGUAAUGCCAAUAAAAAUAGAAAAUGAGAGACCAAGAGUAAUGAGAAAAUGACUUGUAACUGUGAAGCUAUAAGGUAUCAUACCCUGGGGAUUACGAAAUAACGAAAAAGUAAAAGUGACCGAGAUGCGAGGGAAAAACUUUUGUUUAACAUUUCCGGAAAGACCACCAAUUUGUUCGUUUACCGGGUUCGGCACGAAAUCAUGAAUAAACUCUACCAAGGAUUGCCAAGCAUUUGGUACUGGGUUUCCUCCUCCGUUUUUAGUAACAAAAUGAACCAGAAGUAGGACCAAACUGAGAGUUAGCAGCAUAAACAAAGAUGGAUUUGUGAAUGAGAAAUACAAGUUUCCUAUAUUCAUAGGAAUCAAUGGGAGAAUGGAAAAUUGCUCAAGGGGGCUGUGGGUUCUCGCGCCCCACAAAUCAUCCAUUAUGUCGAGCGCUUCUUGAUAAUAUUGACUAUGAAGCCCAUAGAUAUUCACAUUUUCCCAGAUUCCCUUUAGUGUGGGUAUAUCAUUGGUCUUGUUGUUGUUAUGGACCUGAUUCAUCACGUACGGAAUUGUAUAGCCUUCAGGCAAGUGUUGAAGUCCCUUCUCUUUGAGUAGAAAUUCGAAUCUAUCAGAGAGUUGUCCCCUGAGAGUCUCGGCACCAAUCUCAGAAAUCUUUUCGCGGUAAUUAGUUUGAUCUAGAUCAGGAAUCCAUGCGGCUCGGAUAAAAAUCAAAGUACUGAUAGAUUUGCACAGUCCCAAGCUACUUACGUAGGUGCCUAUUUCUGUCGGCGACAUCGUAAAAAAGAAAUUAUUGUAGUUCCGCUUCUCGUUCUAAAAAGAGAGACUUGUCGGAAAUAGCCGGUUGGGUUGGUCCGACCAAGAAAGGCAUGGGAGUCUUUGGGCAUUGCUUGAGCUAAGUCAAGCUUGGGCUGAGUUAAGUAAAGACUGGCUACCUAGUGAUUUACAACCACCCCCACUGCACACUUUUUAUAUCUCUGUCUCCCGGCUGCAUGCUAUCGGAGAGAGCAAUGGGAGGUUCAGUCAAAAGCAUUUACCGCGCACUUCAAUCCAAAGAAGCAAGACGAAUCUCUCUUUCUUUCUAUACGCAAUUUCGAUAAGAGUUUAGCCAGCUCGUCUCUGCCUUGAGGCCAAUAACCAGUGACUCUUUUGUUAACCACAUGUAGAAUAUCUUGUGUAGUCGGGUAGGCUAACUAGAAUCUAUCUUUCCUUUACUUUAGUGUGUAACCGAUUUAUAUGUUAAGCUCCCCUUUUUUUUCUCUCCUUUGCUUUUGCUCCUCUUUAAAGUAAAGCUGCUUCUUAGAGUUGGCUUUUGCAAUUGCAAUCUGUCUCUGGCUCCUCGCUUUGAACUCAAAUAAGACCUUCUUUUGGUCGAGUGACUUCGUUCCAGGUCUUCCUAUUCCCUUCGCUUCCCCAGCCGCUGCCUCUAAGGCCCAAGUACUUUUUUUGUUUGAUCAAAUGAUUGAUUUAGAUUUAGAAUUCCUCUUUACCAAGGGAAGAGAGCGUGGAUCGGGUGUCCUCUUGGAUGUUCAAAACCAUCAUCUUGGACUUCCAGCAUUUGCUUCAGACAAAAAGUUUGGGACUCAAAGUUUGCCCUCAUGAGGCAGGGAAAAACUUAAAAAUGUGUCUUUUACGUAACUUGGAUAGCUGAGUGGUCAAUCCUGCACCAAUCGUUGAUGAGUUGUCUCGCUCGAAAGCUAUGACCUGCCCCCCGAACUCGGUAUCCAUUCUGCCUGAUGGUUCACUCCUCCGAAAGGCUAUUGAAACAAGUCCUGAUCCGAGACUUCUCUUAAGGGAAAACCUGAAAAAAGGAUUUCGAGCAGGGUCCUCUGCUGGCGUAUUCUUUCUUUUUCUUUAUUAUGGCGCUUCCAAGUUGAUGUUUUUUUUUAGCACGCGUGCCUCCGUCCCAAAAAAAGAUGUAUAUUCCGGACAUUCUGUCGUGGGUGCUACUAGAAAGAAUUGUUAUUCGACCGAUUGAUUUGCAUUUUUUUAUGUAACAAAGAGGUGGAUCAAAGGCCUCGUCUCUGUACCCUGCCGUAGAGGAUGGGCCUUCAAGCGUACAAAAUUCUUGUUAAGAAAGAUUGGAUUAAGCUUAGUCGCUGCUCACGCACGGAGCUCGCCCUCUAUUCGACGAGGAGUAUCGGGAAUCACGAUGCAAGUUAUGCGACUCCUACCGCCGCUGCCAUAGACCAAGGUUUGAACAAGUCCAGUGGUGAACCUACAGGAUGCCCGCGAGGGUCUCGACCGUUCUCAAACGAACUUCUAAGAAUGACCGCUAAACAUAAAAGAUUUUCUAUCAUAUAGAAACAUGUAUGAACCAGAGCUAGGGGCCUUUUCCUCAAGGAGUGUUCAAGAAAGACCAAAAAAAGAUCGACUUUCAGUGAUUCGACCCGAAUGAAAGCCACAUGACACUUUCGAUGGCAUUUAAAAAAGGAGAACCUUUGUACCGUGGAUGUGACGUGCGAAUGAACCUGAUGAUGCCGUUUUAUUUAAGCAAUUUUGGCACUCAUCACUGGUAAGGACCAGGCAGAUGCUCUCCGAAAUGGGUUUGUUAAGCAUCAAAAGUUGAAUUCUGUUUUUGCUUCUAUUAUUAUUAUUAUUCUAUUUUGAGUUUAUUUAGAGAAAUGGAUGGAAUAAGAAUGGAAUGAAACAAGCCAAGAAGGCAGGAUUUUUUAAGACCUAAUAGGGUCAUUCUUUUUGAAAGACGUAGGGGAUGCAGGAUAGCCUCGACGAUUCUCAUUUUGAUUCCGAGACUCUGUUUACCCAGUCGAUGGGCCCCUUUUUCCUUCCUCACCCUUUCUUUCUCUUUCUGGGACUCUCUAUUUUCGCUUUCGACUAAUUCUGUUCGGGAACCAGUCUUACACGCCACCUGUGGUUUCCGGGAUGGUCGUUCUGCUUGGGACAUGUCUGCUAUGUCUCCAGCUUUAUCCGGGCGAGGGCCCGAAGCAAGGCAAAAAUCGAGCAUCGAAGUGAGCAUAUAAGAAGAAGUGCUUAAAACUCAGUAAAUGGGCGACCACCUUCAACAUGAAUGACUUUCUGGAAGCAGGCUAUGCCGCCACACCUCCCCUGUGAAAGAGGGCUACGCAGCUGAUUCGGUUAAUCACAUGUCAGAACAACCGCUAGGGAUCUAUUUGUCAUUACCAAGACGGAGGCUUCGGGUCACCCUUUUUCUUCUUUCUUUGCUAAGCUCUUCCAUUUUUGGAGUGAACCCGAGUCUAAUAAAAAUUUCUUUUUUUGAAAAGGUCCAUGUCUGCUUGUUCUUCUGUACGGCCAUAUGACAAGUCAUUUGCGAACAUUUCGGGAACCUUGUGUGGUCUUUUUGUUCCAAACAUCGCAUUCAGUAUUGCUGGUUUCUUUUUAAAAGAGCUAGCUCAUUAGCUAUGGGGCUUGUUGAAAGCAUCUACUCGAGUGUCUCGAUAAACGUACCAGUCAUCUCAACAUUCCAAAUUCCUAUGUUUCUAGCCAGCAGCCUAUUACGUAAACAGCUUUGUCAACUAAGACAUAUAUAUUGGAAAACUAAUCCUUUGGCCAGGUUCAGUAAAGAGAAAGAAAAGGAUAAACCUUUGGUGAUUAGUGAAGCUAACGAUCGAUAUAAGCUCAAACAAUGGUGGUGUAGUCGCUUUCCUAUGCCCUCCCCUCCUUGGAGGAAGUGUGGCAAGAUUGACCGAUUCCUGAGAGUCAUGAACGAGCUCCUGCUGGCUGGCUAACUGGAGACAGCUUCUUAUAAAAGUAAAAUAAGCCGAUUGAAAGAACUUAUGCCCGUAAUGGAUAGAAAUAGAAUUGGCUAACUCCACUCGUGGCUCCUUUAUCUUCUUAAUUUAAAGAAAACCUGUUUGGUUUUUCAAGUGAGCAGCUAGUUCACUACUAUUGAAUAGCAGGAAAUUGACUGAAAAAAGAGGGAAAACUCUUUAGUCAAUCCUGACCUUGUAUCCCUUCUUUCUAAGUAAGGGUACCGGUUAGCAAAUAGCCUGGCAUUGAUUAAAGAACUUGAGGAAGGAACUUUAUUCUCCGAUCUCAAAAACGAGGACUCUUUUGAUCUUGGCUCUUUUCUGAGCGACUCUUACUGGCUCUUAGUUUAAGACUAAAGCCCCCAUCUCCUCUGUAUUCCAAUUGCAAAACUAAAGCUGGUCUUAAGCCAGCGUUUAGUGCCUCCUGACUAAAGGAUUAAAUGAUUUUUGCUUUACAUUAUCGUAAGCACAACAAAACUAUUCCCAUUCCUUAAGCUCGCCAGCAUACCGUCUUGUUAAAUAGUUAAAAACGAGUCGUCGAGCCUCUGUUUUAAAGAUAAAGCGCUUUAUCCACUUCUGUUUUAGGGGGCCCCACAGACAGCGAAAAAGAGGCCUUCAAACGCACAACAAUUUCAAAUCAAAUAAUGUCUAUAUACUACUGAUGCCACCAGUAGAAAGAGAAAGAACCUCCUCGGGAAGUUGCCCGGUAUCCGCACUAGUUCUCUUCUUAGUCUUUAUUAAAGACACCGCUUGGCCACUCUUCACUCACGAAAGCCAAAAACAUUGACAUAACCCAUUCCUCUAAGCAUUCAAGGGCUUAUGGAUUCAUGGCCUCAAUGGGUCCAGAGUGUGAGUAAGCCAGUACACCAAUACCAAUGAAGUAAUCCAGGAAAGUUUGACUGGGAGCAAAAAAGUAAGCCGGUUGACUUUCCUUGAUUCUCGAAUCCCCUGUUUGCGCCUUAACUGACACAAAGGAGGAAGGAAGCGUAGCAAGAGCAAUAGCCAAAGCCAACCUUCUUUCUUUGAUAUUAUAGCUCGUGGGGCAAAAAGUCCUUUGCUCCUAUAGAUUCUAGUUCUGUAUACACCCCCUUGACUAACUCACAGAAAAGACAAUUUAAAAGAGUACGUACAUACACUUUUAAAGAAGAGCACUAACGGGACUCUAAGUUAAGAGAGGGUGAAAGUGAGCUUUACUACUUUACUCCACUACUUCCUUCCCCGCCUAUCACUUUGGAUUAGUGGAUUUAGAUACCUCGUCCAAUCCAGAUUUUGAGUCAGUCUGUAUCCAUUCUCCCCUUUUACAGGCGGACCUGACUCUACUAAAGAACUUUAAAUUUGCAAACUCUUUCACUUGAUCUCCAGUGAAUACUGAACCCUGAUCGGCAGUAAUAGUCUGUGGAAUACCAAACCACAGAAUAAUGUUUUCUUUCAGGACUUUGAUGACUACCUCCUGAUUCACAUUUUUUAAAGGGAUGGCUUCCGCCCACUUGGUGAAAUAAUCAAUCGCAACAAGUAUAAAUGUAUGUUGCUUACUUGAUGGCGGAUAAAUUUUGCCAAUCAAGUCAACUGCCCAUCCUCUGAAUGGCCAUGGUUUGACUAGGGGGUGUAAAUAAGCAGCCGGGGCGCCUUUUGAAUGGGUCCAUGGAUCUGGCAAGCCUUGCAUCCUUUAGCGUACUGAUUACAAUCUUUCUCGAUACUAGGCCAGUGGUAGCCAUGUCUCCGGAUUAACCAUCUCAUCUUGACUCCGGCCUGGUGAGCUCCGCAAAUUCCUUCGUGGACUUCUGCCAUUACAAGCAUGGAUUCAUGUUUGCUCAGACAUUUGAGGAGCAAUCCAUCCACACUUUUCUUGUAGAGUUGGCCAUCGAUCAACACAUAUCUUAAGGAUCUAAGUUCUUUUUUUCUGUCCGUUUUCACACUAGGAUUCUUAAGUCAAUUUAUAAUAGGAGUUCUCCAAUCUGACUCACUCGAGUCAACCCGCAUAACUUCAAAAUUGGAGUUUCCCUAUCAAAGAUCGAAGCCAAUGAGCCUUUCUGAACCGUGAUAAGUUUCUAAAAUAUGCCACUUAACUCCCGAGGCAACUUGAGCCAUCUCGUUGGCUUCUUGGUUCAGACUCCUGGGAGUGUAUUGGAUAGUAAGAUCCAUGAAUCUAUUUAGCAAUUCGGUAGCCAGAGCAUGAUACUCAGCUAAGGAAUCGCUUAGGCAUCUAUAUUCCCCAGUCAAUUGUUUUAUGACUAACUGAGAAUCACCAAUGAUUCUAACAGUUAGGAUCUUCAUUUCGAUUAACAUUUCCAAGCCAAUAAUUAGGGCUUCAUAUUCAGCUUAGUUGUUGGAACAAACGAAAUCAAGGUAAAAAUACAAUUUGUUUUUCUGCCUGUAGAGGAUAUAAGGAUUAUCCCUGCACCUGCCCUCAUGUCAGUCUUGGAUCUGCCAAACAUAAGGAUCCAUGCAGUGACACUAAUCAUAUUUCUUUCUCUCAUGACUUCUUCAGCCCGAUUCCUCGAAUUUCACUCGAAAAAUAAAAACUUGCAUUGAAAUCACGUUUUUAUUAGUAAAUGCUGUUCUUUCAAUUCUACUCCUAGUAGGCCACUCACUAACUUCAAGGCUUAAUUAAGAGUUCUUGCUUCAGGAAAUUCAUUACAUUAACAGUUCCUUCUGCACACGCGGAGCUCUUCUAUAAAUAACAAAUAGGGAGAUCAAACUAGAAAAUCCAGUCUAAAAUCAGAUUGGCAUACACCUCUAGUACUUCACUUCCAAACAUGACAGCCCCAGAAAAAAAAACACAUUUUCUUACAAAAGAAAUUAUAGGCAUAGAGACGAACUCCUUCACUAUUGGAAUAAACGAAUUCCUUCCUUCACUCCGGGGAAAGGAGAGAGACCGAUCAUUAUGACCGGGCCGACAGGUUUUUAUCCCUUAGAAGGGAAUACAUUUAUUAUAAAGAACGAAAUCAAUCGCGUACUUCACCCCUACCCAUUAUGCGAGCUACUCCUCCUAUACGAAAAUAAUUAUGCAUCAUUCUCAUACCGGUGGCAGCUUCGAAUAGAUCAUAGACUAACUCUCUUUCUCUGAAAAUAUAGAAGAAAGGAGUCUGUGCACCAAUAUCUGCCAUAAAAGGGCCAAGCCAUAAUAAAUGAGAAGCUAUACGACUCAACUCCAACAUAAUCACUCUAAUAUAGCUGGCUCUUUUAGGUACUUGAAUAUUUCCCAACUGCUCUGGUGCAUUUACGGUUAUUGCUUCUGUGAACAUAGUAGCUAAAUAAUCCCAACGUGUUACAUAAGGCAAAUAUUGUAUAAUUGUUCGGUUUUCUGCAAUUUGAUCCAUCCCUCUGUGCAAAUAACCUAGUAUUGGUUCACAGUCAAUAACAUCUUCACCAUCUAAAGUAACGAUGAGUCGAAGAACACCGUGCAUUGAUGGGUGAUGAGGACCCAUAUUGACUAUCAUGAGGUCUUCUCUUGUAGCUGGUACAUUCAUAGGUUUUCCCCUGAUUCAUUCUUCCAUGAAUUGCUGAAAACGAAAAGAAGUUCAUCAAAAUUCAAGAUCUACUAAAUCAAAUAAUUCAAAAGGACUCUUCAAAUUAACGAAUUUUUGUCUCCCGAAUACCCAACUGACCAAUUAAUUCUUUAUAACGUACUCUAUUUUUCUUUGCCAAAUAAGACAGCAACCGUUGACGUUUUCCCAGAAUUUUCCGUAGACCUCUCUGAGAUAAAUAGUCUUUUCUGUGCAAUUCCAAAUGUGAAGUAAGUCUUCGGAUCUUAUUGGUGAAACUGAAUACUUGAAAUUCAACAGAUCCCCUAUUUGCUUCUUUUUGAGAAAUAACUGAGAUGAAUAAGUUUUUUACCAUAAAACGAAAUCUUCUCUUCCCUCCCUUUUUUUCUUUUUUUUUUAUUUGAAUUUAACCCAUCAGUAAUAUAAUAAUAUUAGAAUUAUAAUAAUAAUAUUAUUAUGCCGGUCAUUUUAAUCUAGUAUACGCAAUAAUCUGAAUUUCGUUAUGGAUACCUCUAUUAUCAAAUAAAAUGAAUCAAUAUCAAUAAAAAAUCUAAUUGAUACGUAUUAGUAUCAUGCAUCAGAAUGUAAUGUAAGACAUCGCAUGUGUGCAUUUGUUUACUUUCAUAUACUAGAUCUAGUAAGGAUAUAUAAAAAAUGUGACAUCAACGAAUUUUCAAUCGUGGAUACAUAUGUAUCCUUAUCAUACUAAAACAACUACCAUUAUUGGUAUCAAACCAAUAGCGAUUCAUACAAGCUAAAUCUUCUAAUCGAUAAUUGGGCCAGAGAAAGAACUUUCAUUUUUUUAAUUUAAUUAAUUGAUUUUUAUCUCUAUCAAGAUGUUUGUUUUCAUCCAAAAAUUUAUUACAGCUGUUCCCAUUGCAAAAUACUGGAUUUCUAGCCACACCACUCCUAUUCCUCAAAUUGAAACAAAUUAGAAUUCUAAAUUUUCUACGACGUCUAGGCGAUAAAAUAUUUUCAGGAACAAGCAAAUCAUAAUGAUUUUUGUCUUUAUUUCCAAUCAUCUUUUGACAUCUUGCACUGAAUUUAUCAAAAUUCUUAUUAUCAACAUAUCUUUCUUCUCGGUAUCUUUGAUUAGUUUGGUACUUACUCUUAUGAACCAAUGAAAUACCUAUAGUUUGAUACAUAAUAAAUUGUCCAUCAUUUUUUACAGACAGACGAAUUGGUUCGAUAAUAAAUAUACCUCUUUUCAUUUUCAUCAAUUCUGUAAGAGUUAAAUCUUUAUGAACCGGUAUUAGAUCCAGACUCAUUUCUCCCCUUUGAAUAGCAGAUAUACAAAUUUCUCUUGGAUUUAUCAGUCUAAGCAGGAGACAAUAUACCUUGAUAUUUUUGAUCAUUUUUUGAUUUAAAGAAUCAUCCCAUCUCAAUUGAAAAAGCAAAUAUCUUUUUAGGAAUAAAUCGAGUUCUGCUUCCGUGUGAUUCUUGAAUUGCUUUUUCUUUGUACGUUUUUGCAUGUCUGAGUCUGAUCCUGCAUAAUCUUCUUCAAUAUCUUUUUCGUGGUUUGAGAGGACUGAUUCAAGAUUUCCUUGGUUUUGUACAUCUGAUCCAAGAUCUACUUGUCCUGCGGAUUCUUUUUCUUCUUGAUUUCGAUUCUCUAAUUUAAAAAGUUUUUUUUUUUAUUUGCCAGGGGAUGAUAUAAAAAGAUUCCCUUUUUGCUUUCUAUUGCUUUUUCUAUUUUUACUAUAAUUUAUAUUUCCAUUAAAAUUUAAAAGAAGUAAUUUGAUUGGUAUAACCCAGGGUUUCAUUUUAUAUGUAUUAUAAAGUAGCACAAAUUCUGGGAAGAACCAAGGUUCCAGAUUCGAUAUGGAACGAUUUAGUAUUUCUUCAUUCAUCCCCAUCCAAUCAAAAAGUCUUAAAGAUUGGAUGGUUUGAUUUCUUGAUCUUGUGUGAGAUAAAAAAGACCUUUCUUAUCAAUUAUUUGAUAAUUAUUCGACCCGGUCUUGGUAUUUUUAUUACUGUUGAUACUGGUAUUGAUCCAGACCUCAAUAUCGACCUUCUUUCUAAAGCAAAAAUGGAGAAUUUUCCAAUCCAAAUAUUUUCUAUCCGGGUUUUUCUUUAUAUACUCUAUAUACAUAAUAUCAUCUUCGCCUAGGUAAUUAUUGAUAGGGAUACCUUCCAGCAUAUCAAAAAAUUUGCGUUUAUGUGUGUUGUAAUUAUAAGAAAUAUCUUGGUUAUUAUUUACUUGUAAUGGUGAUCCAUAAAUAUAUGAGUCAUUCUUAUCUUCAUAAUAUAUAUAUAUUUAUGAUAAAAGGUCAUAUCUAUAGUGUUUUUUAAAAUUUGCUUUUUGAUUCGUUAAUGAGUCUGCUUCAUAAUCAUUUUGUUUGUUGUAAUGAAUUAAUUGAUCUUUUUGAGAUAAAUCCCAUUUGCUUAAAUCUUUAUUUUGAUUUUGAGCCACACAAUGUUGAUUUACUCUAUUUCGCCACUUUUGUGGUACUAAUCUAGACCAUAUAAUCGGAGAUAAAUAUUUAUAUUGAUAAUGACCUCUUAACCAGUUUUUCCAUUGAUUCAUUCCAGAAUUACGAAGUUUCUUAUGUCUUAAUUCGUAAUGAAAUAUUUCGUGUGCUCCAAAACCAAAAUAAUCUUUUCUUUCGUUCUUAAGAAAAAGAGAUGUUCCGUUAUAUUGAAGGACAGAUCUUAACUUAUACAAGUUAAUAACUUGGGUUUGUGAUAAUUUGUAAAAUACAUAUGCUUGUGACAAGGAGGAUAAGUCACAAAAAAUCUGUGAACUCUUAUUACUAAUAUUAGAAACUGACCUUUUUAUAAUCGAAAUAAAGUGAAUUUUCUUUUGAUUUGGUUUACCAAUUCUUUUUUGAUUUCUUUCAUUAUUGUAAAUGUAUUUAUCAAUAAUUUUUUUUGUUGAUUCAAUAAAAAAUUGUGCAUUGGUCCUGGGAAUAUUAAUGAGACAUAGAAGAAUAUCUAUGUAUAUCCUUUCAAUGAAAAAUUUUAUAAAAUAAUGUAAUUUGCGAAUUAAUCGAGAAUUCCUUCUUUUUAAUAUUUGCCAAAUACUUUUUUGUGAUUCUAAUCUUUUAGCAUUAUAACUAGCUUUGUUAGGGCUAAUAUUUAUCUCUGGAGUUAGAAAGAGUUUUUUCUUGUCUUUUAUAAUUUUUUCUAUUUUUUUUCUGAUUGUGCUUGUUCUAUCAGUCAGAUCUUUCACUUUUUUUUCUGUCAGUGAAUAAUUUGUCCAAUUCAUAGAUCGAAUUUGAAUAGACGAUUUGUGAAUCAUCUGAUUAUUGAUUAUCGAAUCCUUUUGUUUUUGAGUUUCACUAGAUUCAUAUACUUCUCUCAAUCCAAAUAAUAGAGUUGGAUUUAUUUUUAAGAGUUCUUUUAUUAUUUUUUUUCUAUUUUAUAAUAGAACACUUUUGAUAACCCAUUUUUUUGUUUUUUUUGAGACCCUUAAAAAUAUAAACAAUUUUGUUCGUUCUUUUAAAACUGUUAGAACUAGAAAACACUUGUUUUUAAAUUUUCUAAUUCUUUUUUCAAGUUCUUUCAAAAUGGGUUUAAAAAAGGAAGGUCGUUUUCGGGGAGAACCAAAAGGCAGAUCAGUUUCCAUUCCCCAAACUGUUAAAAAACAAAAUUUUUUGACUUUAUCUUUCAUUGAAUCUUUAUCAAGGGACCUUUCUUGAGGUUUGUGCCAAGGUUUCAGACAGAAAGGAAAUAGGAUCUUUAUUUGAAUACCGUCUCUUAACCAGUUUUGCGGAAAUUCUGUUUCUGAUAAUUGAACACCAUUAUAGGUGCAUUUAACAUGCAUUUCUCGAUUCCAAUCCUUUAAAUCUUCGGACCACUCGGGAGAUUGAAAUAAUAACAUACGACCGAUGUUUUUAGCUAUUAUCAAUGAAGGUAAUAUAAUAUAUUUUCGAAAAAUUGAUUGGGUUAAUAACAAGGAACCUCUUAUUACUUGAGCAAAUAGGACGGUAUCCCAGACUUCGGCUAUUUUUAUCCGUGCUUUUUCCUCUCUUUUGGCCUUCUGUCUUUUCUCCCUUGUCUUUUCCUCUGCAUAAUUCGCAAUUUUUCAUUUUUUGACCUUCCAAUUUUCAAAAAUGAGUUUUAUCAAUCCAGAAAUAUCAAAAGAAAAAAAGAUGGGUUUGUAUAUUCUGUCCAAAAAAAGGGGGGAAUGUACAUUUGCUUGAAAGAGUUCCCGAAUAACUAUUUUACGUCUUUGAGCGCGCAUGGAGCCUUUGAUUAUAU